rnacentral:tRNA from 1 species
UAGAGAGAUAGGAAUUGAACCUAUAACUAAGAGAUCAAAACUCUCCGUAAUUCCAUUU